rnacentral:rRNA from 1 species
UACGUAGGGUCCAAGCGUUAUCCGGAAUUAUUGGGCGUAAAGAACGUGUAGGCGGACAUUCAAGUCAGUCGUUAAAUCUCACUGCUCAACGGUGAGACUGCGAGUGAAACUGAAUGUCUUGAGUCUUUCAGGGGCUAGCAGAAUUCUUGGAGUAGAGGUGAAAUUCGUUGAUACCAAGAGGAAUACCAAUGGCGAAGGCAGCUAGCUGGGAAAGUACUGACGCUGAGAACGUGAAAGCGUGGGGAGCAAA